rnacentral:rRNA from 1 species
AUUGAACGCUGGCGGCAGGCCUAACACAUGCAAGUCGAGCGAGCGGCGGACGGGUGAGUAAUGUCUGGGAAACUGCCUGAUGGAGGGGGAUAACUACUGGAAACGGUAGCUAAUACCGCAUACCAUCAGAUGUGCCCAGAUGGGAUUAGCUGGUAGGUGGGGUACCGGCUCACCUAGGCGACGAUCCCUAGCUGGUCUGAGAGGCUGAACAUCGACACUGGAACUGAGACACGGUCCAGACGCCUGCGGGAGGCAGCAUUGGGAAUAGUGCACAAUGGGCGCAAGCCUGGUGCAGCCAUGCCGCGUGUGUGAAGAAGGCCUUCGGGUUGUAAAGCACUUUCAGCGUGGAGGCGUUACCCGCAGAAGAAGCACCGGCUAACUCCGUGCCAGCAGCCGCGGUAAUUC